CAGGGCAGGCGAACGAGCACUCAUUCACCAAGGCCACAGAUGGCUUGUGUGGCUGUGAGCUCACACUUGCAGAUGCUGAUGUGAAAAGAUGGCAAUGGAGAAGGAGAAGAGGAGGAGGAGGAGGAGAUGGUAGAGGGGAGACGGAUGUGGCACAUAGGAAAUUGGCGGUUUAUUAAGAUGCCAAAUCCAUGGAUAUCAGGGCCAACACCAUAUUCAUGGCCAAAGAAGAUCAUGCUGAGUGUAUAGCUUAUGAGGUAGAUGAGGUCUGAAAAAGCUAUGACUGUCCUGACCUAUCUUGUCAGCCUCGCCUGCCUAUAUCCCAUCUACCAUUGCAGCCACAUUCUGCACGAGGAUACGACUCCUGUCCUCAUCUGCUCUGUGAUUCCUUUGCCACAGUUUGUAUCACUUCCAGACUUGCUCUAUAAUUUGUGAAUCAUAUCAAUUACUUGAUGGCUGCCUGCCCCUGUCCCACCCCAGCCUCAGCUGAGGACCUGUGCAGCUCCAGAAGAGCAAGAAUCAUUGCCCGGCUCCCCGGUCUACCCCAGGACCUGGGGCCAUGCCUGGCAUAUGGUAAGAGUUCACAGUGUUUGCUGGAGGGAGUGAUCUGCCUUGGACCUGAACAGGCCCACCUGGUGGUCUGCGAGGCCACUCCUGGAUGGUAAUUGCUCAGCUGCAGCUCUCCAGGCAGCUUCCCCGAACAGACUCAGACCCAGCCCUCUGUCCAGACAUGGAUCUCCCUUCACCACUGAUUGGAUCCAGAUGGGGUCUCAGCUGUAAUGCAGUUGAGCACUGACUUCAGCAAAGUAAGUGAAUUACCAAAAUGUAGUCAUUAUAAUCCAUCUUCAUCUUCGUGACACACUUGGCAAGCUAUAAUGAACCAGGACUUAAAAAGUGAAUGUGAAUUUGCAGACCUCUCAGCUCUGCCCACAGGACCCAAAUCUGGCAGGGUUGUCAUGUCUCUUGAGCUAUUAAAUGGGAUGAUGAGCACUUCUACCCACACGCUCAGCCUUAAUAUACCACUAGCCCAAGAGAGGGCUCUGUGAUCACUCACCCUAAAACAUUAGACUCGGGCAGACCUCGAAGGUCAUGUAAACAAAUUCCAUCUGCCUGAAACCCAUACCAGUCGAUCACAGCUACUACUCUUCCAGGCUGUGCCAAUGCCUGCUCUCCCUACUCCUGCCCCAGAUGUCCCACACACAGAGCAGAUGAGUCAGCCUGAGGCAUCCAGCCUAUGUGUGACAAGUAAGACGCAGAGCCCACGCUGGACUCCCACCCAGGGCUUCUGACCACCAUUCUCUGAAUCCAAGGGGAGAGCACCAAGUGAAACGAAAGGGCUUCUGGUCCUCAGGCUACUCACUCAUCAGUCUUAUCAGCAUUAAAAGAGACAGGGCCAGACACUAUUGCUUCCCAACAUAAUGUAACAGGAAGUGCCUAGGGGAGAUAUAACAUGAUCCUGCCAGAAAGAGAACCUGAAUUUAAUCAGGGUUUAUAUAUGACUACCAGCUUUCAGGAAAUAGAGAAGAUAAAAACAUUUCAAUAAGAGAUCAGUCAGUUAAUGUCCCUACAGGACAAGGAUGCAUAACCCAGUUUCCUCAAGCAAAUGCAUAAUAAAGACCUUGUCUGCAUCUUGUCUUCUACCCAGGAAAGAACAGUUUUAAUGUGUUGUGUCUGCCUGGUGUUAAUGGUUUUCGUAUUAGGUGUGAAAAUAAUAUGAUGAG
ensembl:lncRNA